UGUCUUGUUUUCUUUCUUGAAGUGUCUGCAGUUGGAGUUGUUACCGGUUCCCUGACUUUCUCUUCCUAGAGUAGAACGUUCCUCUUUAAAAGUCCUUCUUCUCUCUCAAGGACUUUAGGAUGUCACCACUAUACACUACCAGCUCUUAAGAAUAUUGCCCUUCCAGUCAAAUGUUGCUCUUCAUUAAUGGAGUCGUUCAGGACGGCCUCCCUCCCCUUGGGACCAAGGACAAAGUUCGUGAUGCCCUUGGACUGAAUUAAGGUGGGCUUGUAUACACUCAGGAAAAAAAAGCAUGAAGAUUUAUAGGAUGCAUGAGCAGCCCUACUGAAUAAGGCACAGCCUGCAGCCAGCAGGGUGAUUUCAGCUAUUCAGCAGACCAGCUCUUGCCCACCCUGUGUUGAAACAUUCCCAUGUUUAACAGCAACUGAAGACACAUUUUGAUUAAUUGGACCUUAAGACCUUAAGCCAGACAGGAAUGAAGUCCUGGAGGACGGUCACCGUUUCCGAUGCGGAACAAAGCCUGGCCUCACAGCAGGUGCUCAGCCGGUUGCUUGGCCCUUUGCCAGUUUGACUGCAGCUUGCACAUCCUAGGCAUCUGUACAGACGUUUGGAAGUGCAUUUCAUUUUCCAUCAAAGAAUCGUUGGAUAAAAUGAGUAAAACCAGUGGGAUUAGGGAGCUAAAUCUAGGUCUUCUCCUCAAGGUAAUCUUUCUUAUGAAUGCCUAACAGUCCUUUACAAAUAAUCCACAGUACCAGAAAUUCCUCAUAAAAGCUGGAGCAGAGUUUGGCAAUUGGAAACGGACACUCUGUCAGAUGAAAGACAGUCACUAGGAAGGAUGAGGGGCAAGAUGCUAUUAAUGUAGAAAGAACUAUACAGGCUGAUGACUCUGAAAUGCCAAAGGGAGCUCUAUGGGAACAACCUGGCUACCAAGGAGUGCUAGUAGGCAAUCAGCCAAUGGGACAGGACUACGGCACUUCUCCUGUCAGUUACUGUGAAGUUAAAAACGUUUCCAGUUUAAGCAUACAUACUGAUAUCAGAAGAACUACAGAAAGCCAAACAUGUUACACUUUGUUGGAACGUCUUACUUCAAUCGUGCAGCCUCCAUAAAUCACGAGAAUUUGCAGGAGUCCCACAAGGGGACGCUCCCCUCCAAAGAGUCCCAGCAAGGAACUGGGACAGUGAAGCAAUGUGGAUCGAAAGAUCACAUUCUGAAGGCUUCCACCAGUGGCCUUCCUUCCUUAUGAUGAUUGAUCAUUUAUUCCUAUCAUUGGUUUCCUGUCUUUUAUCAGAAUGGGUUAAUAUUGCAAGCUGUUGAAGGAUAAACUGUGGAAAUGUCUGGUUUGAGGGACAGAGAAAAGGAAGAGACUACAAAGAUGGUAUGGUUGGUAUGUCUUGUGACAGCGAAUGAGUAAAAAGCAUCUGCAUAUACAGGGGGUGGCAGCUGAUGAAAAUAUGUCAAUGUGAUGAAUGUGAAAGGUGAGGAUUUUGUUAGUUUAGAUAUGUUUUAAAUACCCUGGUUUUUGAGUCUGCUCAGUCAGUUCUUACCACCAGUCCUUUCCCUGAAGGCCCUACAAAAUAGUAGUGGUCUACCAUUAUUGUUAUUGUUCACAUAUCAGUUUGUAAAUGUAAGUUCUUGCACAUGCAGCUCCUUUCUCAUGAAUAUUCUUUUUUGUUUAUUGUUUUUUUUGAUACUUGUGGUAAUGGACUCUAAGAACUCACUAUUUCCUGAGGCUCCAUUGGUUGCAGUACUUUCAAAUAUGUUUCUGAAUUUUUAAACAUUCUGUCUUGUAAGUCAUUGGUAGGUCCACCUGAAACACACUGUCAAUGUAUUUUCACUUUGUUGCAUCUGAUCCUUCAGCAUUCUUAUUAUAAGAACAUCCAGAAAAUUCAUUCAGGCUAAACAAUAUCAGGGCCUUUUUACAUUUAUAUUUUGUAUUUUACAUGACUCAGAUGAGCAGGUGCUAUUAGGGAAGGAGGCAGCUUGUUUUAAAUUUUCUCCACUUUGCUGAAUCAUCUGGGAGUUUCAUCUUCCAAUUCCUCACCAUUGCAAGAAGAACAGGACAUACUGGGUUUUUUCUUCUUUGCCUUCUUAAAAGUGGCACUUGCAAGGGCAGGACAUGUACCUAACAGAAGCGGCUUGUACAUGAGGUUGCUUAAGGGAGUAUCACCCUGUUCAAAUUUCUGAAGGUAAGGUAUUGUUUGUUUUGCUUACUAAAAUGGACAACACUGAAUUUCCAUAGCUUUGGCUCUUGGAAGGUGAUUAAAUAAAAUGCUGUAUAUAUUCCAUGUGAGCAUCCUACUAGAAAGAAUGAAUGACAUUAAUGGACAAACCAAAAACAAUUUUUAAAAGGAAACCAUUGUGCUGAGUGGCAGGAAGAUUUUCCUGAAUGUUAAAUACUGUUGAGUGCAGAAGGUGUCUGUAAAAUUACUUCCACUCAAAGGAACCAAAAUGUAGCCUACUGCAGGUUAAGAAGCGUCUUUGUCGCUUUCUCCUCCGCCAUACAUUUCGGCGAGCUUGUUAAACCGCGGGCCCCACUCUCGGAGGUAAUCAUAGUUUUGGUCCCCUUCAGUGGUACCCGACUCCAGUGAGCUCAAGGAUUCAGCUAUAGAAUCGUUGCCUUCGUAGGCGUAGGUUGCGAGCGAGUCGUACGGCGGCGCAGAAGGGUCAGUGUCAUGCUCUUUUAGCCUUUGAUUAAUGAAAUCUCGGACGUCUGUGUUGUCUGGUGCUGAAGGAGUCCUCCGCGGUACAAAUAACGUUUCAGGGAUAAUAUCUCGCCGAAGCUUCUUAUCUUCGAUAGCUGCAGGAUUCCUCAGUGUGCCGAUAUCAAAGGCUUGGGUGUCUUCCUCUCCACCGCCUUCGUCGUUAUAACUCACAAUGUUGUCUCUGAUGUCCUCUUUAGACAAGAUCAAAGGCUCCUUCUUGCGUUGCCUCUUCAAAGCAGCAAACAGCACCACUAUGACUUAGAGAGAGAAAGAACAGGAUAACGAUGCAGAGGAGGAUGGCAAUCAGCGCCCCUGUGCUCAGGCCAGCAGGGAGAAGCAGGGCCUCAGCAUUGCAGGACUGCAUGUUGCCCCGGCUGUCACAGGCACACACGCGAAUGGUCAGCGUGCCCGUGCUGCUCUGGAUCGGGUAGUCGUUGUCUGAUAUCACCACGGGUAGAAGGGAGAAAAUACAGAUUCAUUCUCCGGGAAAGAAGAAUAAAUUAUUUUUCAUCAAACCUGUGGAUCUCUCAAGAAGCUUCUGAAAGUUUUCCCUGAUAAUAGUUGAAGAAAGAAUGACAGAGGAUCGAAGGAAAAGCCACAGUGGCCAUGCACUUUGUGUCAUAAGUUUCAUUCAUCAUCAUAAAAGAACAAAACAGAAAACUAGGAGAAUCAGAACUGUGGCAGAAGUCUAAAGUGAAAAAUCUCAAUUUAAGAGAGUAAAGCAAUAGAUUUCUUCAAGAGGGAAGAUUUGGAUUUAAUACAGUAGCGUGCUUGCUUUCUCAGCUGGAGAGCUGUCUUUCUCUAAACUUGUUUUCUCACUUAAACAAACACAUGAUAUAAUAACCACCAAGACAUGUUUAUUCAACUACUAUGACAAUUCAGCCAAAUGUGCAGAACCCUUAUCAGAACAUCAGACAAAAGGAUAUGUCUCCUAUUAACUCCCUCAUUCAUCACUUCUUGUAGCAACUUCUGUUCAACUGUUGAUCUUGUUUGACCUUAUAAUACAUUUCAUAAGCAAAUUCAGGUAAUUUCCUUACAUUAGGGGGGAAAAAAAAAACCUGCUUGCCUUUUUUUGUUGCAUGCAUCCUUUAGAAGUGAAAAUGUACAGCUAAUUCAAAAUUACUAUCAAACAUCUGACUGGCUAACUUCCAUUCAGUUUCAUGUUACAUUGAUGAUAUGUAUCUUUAAAAGGCAAAGUUUUAAGGAUGACCUUAAUGAAACAAUGUAAUUAGGUUCAUGGUCACAUUUAUGGCAUCUAUACAUCAAUGUGCAAAAUACAUCACAAACAAAAGCACUGUUUGCUCCUGUAUCGUUCUUGAUCACAACUUCAGCUUUCAAACUGUUCUACAAAUUUUUUGUAGAUGAAGCUGUGACUGAAAAUUCACACUGGAAGUGCAUUACUAGCUCUUUUUCAAAUGAGACCACAUAUAAAUAACAAAAGUGCAUGUACUCAUAAUCUUCUAUGUGAGCCUUGUAGUACUGCUAGGGCAUGCAUGCUGGUUCCUCCCUUUUGUUCACUGUAUAGCAUUUGAAAUCAAGCAUGCCACCAUUUAAUGUCUUCUCACCUACUCUGCUGAAGGGAAUGCUCAAAUGCUUGACGAUUCUUGCCAUGUAGGUGCUUUUCCUCGUUCUUUGAUUUUGAUGUCUUCACAUAAAGCUUUCCAAAUGUGCUGCCAGUGAGAAUUAAAUUCUGUAUUCAGACCAACAUUCCAGAAGUUUGUAUUGCCAUGAAGAAGGCAUUAUGUUGCACCAUGGUGGUGCAACAUAAUGCAUCUUGUGAUGCACCAUGUUGUACCAGAAGAAAUGAGUCUAAAUUAGUCGUAGUGUUAAUGUCUCCAGAGAUUCCUAUUGCAGAUCUAUCCAAAGGUAAAAUGACCAAAUCAGUCCCAGCAAGAAAUCCACCUUUUUUUUUUUUCCUCACCUUCUCCAGGCAAUGCUGCUAGGGUUGCCACGGCAUCUCAUUAAAUGGAGUGAGGCAGGCCCUUGACACCAAUGAAACACUAGCAAGCUCUACUCCAGCUGACAAAAUUGAAAGGGAAGUAUCUUAAGAUCAUGCCUCUUUGGCAUCAGUUUGCCCUAUAAGCAGUAUCUUGGCAUUGCUUCAGUGCCGAAAUGUAGGCAUGGCGUCACUGGCACCAAGCUGCUUGGUUUUUGUGGAUGGACUAGUUGGAGCCUUUUUCCAUAUCUUCACCUCUGCUCAUCAUGCGCUUGGAAUAGUCUCAAACUUUAUAUUCAAGGGCACAAGACUUGCCAUACAAGGUGCUGGGCUGUUUCUCUGCCUCUGUACUUCUACUCCCCUCUCUUCCUGUAUGCAUUUGUGGCCCUCACUGGUACCAUGAGAUAGGAUGCUGUUCUUCACAGGAUUUCUCCUCAUGCAAAGGCUUACCCCUUGACUUUUCACUGGAUGAGGACACUCAGUAUGUCAGAAUGACUACUCAGUGGUGCCAUGGGGGUAAGUGAUGAGGCUUUCCUGCAUGGGAACUAGGUUUUAACUUUGGGGCAGCUGCUACUCCUAUUCUGGAUAGCACUAAAAGUCUUGUGCUUUUCCAGUCAUUAGGCCUUUCAGGAUUUUUAUGAUGUGGUAGAAUUGCUUGUUAGGGAAGAGAUUGAUCCCUGUCACAAUUUGGUUGAUAGCCUUUACUCUCCAGGGUCUCUCCCUCUCUCAGCACUUGUGAGGGCCUGAUAUAGAGACUGAUACUGGUUGCCAGUUUUCCAGGGACACGUAUGUGAACCUGAUAUCCUCUUCUUACAACUGCUGCAACAGAAAGAGCCAAAAGAACACAACUUUGUGAUAGGAGGCCUCAGGGACUGAAUGCUGUAACUCCACAAUUCUUCACUUCUGCUUCUUGAAGUAUUUUGAACUACCCUGUUUUCUUGCAUGAGUUUUAAAGGGUAAAAUUGCUGAUUUUGCAAUGACGAAUUAGUAAGUUUCUUUAGUCUUUCAAGGGCACUUGGAAAUAAAUUAUAUAGACCUUUUUGUACUUUGCACCUAGGAGGAGGCAGGCCUUCCUUUUCUGCCACUGACUCUUCCAGUCUGCAUGGCCAUUUGAACGGGGUAAGCACAGAUAGGACUUUGGUUGUUACUGUUCAGCUGCUCGAUCUUUUCUUCAAAUUAUUGUGUGUGGCUGCCCUGUCAUGGUGCUUCUGGAGACCUGAGCUUCUGCUUCUUCUCUCUGUGCCUCUGUCUCCAUCUCAUCAUCAUUCAGGGCAAGACUGGCCUUUCAUUUCCUAUAUUGGCAUCUCAUUAUGUACUGUGAUGUGAUCUCUGUGCCACCAAUCUCAGGUCUUCAGUUCAGUUAACUGUUAUGGAACUCUGCAAAUUCUGUCAUCAAGAGAAUCAUGUGAGCACCAUGAGAAGAGUUGCAGAAAUUGUAAUGUCACAGGUUGGAAACAAAGGCUUUUAUAAAGAUAGAAGCUAUUUCCUUGUGCCCAAGUGUAUGUGUUUGAGGGAAGGAGGGAUAGGUCACCAUUUUGGUGACCUAUUGCACCUUUUGCAUUUGCAAAUUCAAGGCCAUGAUGACUUUGGAAGGUAUCCUGCCAGCUCUCCAUUCAGGUAGGGGGACUGGUUUGUGUUUCUUGGCUUUUUUGUAAUGCUGACUUUCAUGCUGUAAUGAGGUUGAAUUACCAUUACAUGUCUGAUUCAUGGAAGAUCAGGUUCACUCUCAGAGUCAGAAGCUUCCAUUUGACUUGUCCAUAGCUCCCUUUGAUUUCACCAAACAUCUGGCAACAGAUACAGCCCACUUUUGUCACAAAGGGAUUCCUUUAUCAGUUCCCUAAGUUUCCUGCUGAUUUGUAAGGGGAUCAGAUUUUUUUGGUCUUUCCUCAAUCUAUGAUCCCUGACCAUAGUCUUUGCUUAAAUGUCAAAAAGCCAUGCCACUCACCAGAAGAUGUGAUUUCUGAUGCUUUGUGGAAAACAUCACAUGCAGCUUCACAGCAUCUGUAGGUCAGCAGGACAGUCAUGUCUCAUCAAGAUGUCAUUUCCUUGAGCAAGAUUCCAGGCGUAGCUUAAAUGCAUUUGCAGGUUACAGGGAAAGAAACUGCUUCUUUCUGCUGCUGCUGAUAAAAGUCCAUCACAAGGAACACUUUCUUCACCAGAUUGGGAACUCAUGUGGCUGAAGAUCAGGCUCUGUGGUCUUUGGAGGGAACAGCCGCUUCCUGUCAACCUUUUGAAAUGCUGCAUGGUUUUCUGUGCACACUUUCUGGACUCGGUGGUGGACAAUCAGGUUAGAGAACGUUAGAAAGAAACUGGAUGUCCAGGGGAUUGGGACAAUACAAGCCUGUGGGACUUGAUGGGAUGCACCUGUGAGUGCUGAGGGAGCUGGCUGAUGUCACUGUGAGGCCAUGCUCUAUCAUUUUAACGGCUUGGGGAUCAACAGAGGUUCCUGUGGAGUGGAAGAAACCAAACAGGAAGGGUGCAGGAAGGAGUAUUUGGAGAACUACAGGCCUGUCAGCCUCACCUUGAUCCCUGGGAAGGUGAUGGAGCAACUAAUCUUAGAUACUAUUUCCAGACACAUGAAGGACAGGCAAGUGACUGGGAUAGUCAGCAUGGAUUUACGAAGGGGAAAUCGUGCUUAACCAACCUGACAGCCUUCCACAAUGAGACGUCUAGCUUGGUGGGAUGAGGGGAGAGCAGUGGAUAUUGUCUGUCUCAGCUUCAGUAAGGCAUUUGACACUGUCUCCCACAACAUCCUCAUCAACAGCAGAUGAAAUACAGACUAGGUAAGUGGUCAGUAAGGUGGACUGAAACCUGGCUGCACUGCUGGGCUGAAAGGGUUGUGAUCAGUGGCAUGAAGUCCAGCUGGAGGCCAGUCACACCAGUGGUGUGCCCCAGGGGUUGAUGCUGAGGCCAGUACUGUACAUCAUUAAUCACCUGGCCGAUGUGGCAGAGUGAACUCUCAGCAAGUUUGACACAAAGACAAGGAGGAGUGGCUGAUGAUAGACCAGAUGCCAUUCAGAUGUACCUGAGCAGGCUAGGGAAUGGGCAAAGAGGAAUCCAAAUUUUAAUUUAGUUAUUAUCCAGUUGUGGGCACAGACUGAUGGCAGUAGUUAAGAGUAUAAGUAACUGUGGUAGUUGUAUUGCACAAGAUUUCCAUUCUGGGUGAGUUGCUAGGCAGGCACUUGGAAUCCUAUGUGUUUUACCAAGACUCGUUUCAUUCUUGAAGCUUUAAGGACUGAUAGAGUCUUCACUAUAAUAGUUUUUAGUCAUUGUUUACUUGACUCUGAAACCUCUGGGCAGUAAUUGAUGGCAGGGUAACUACUGAGAGUCUCUUAAGUAUGUGUAAAUCUACUUGAAAGAAAAAUUACUUGCUGGGUACAACUGUUUAUUUGUAGUCAACACGUACAUUCGUCUCUCAGCAGCCUUUUCCCUCUGUCAGUGACUUCCAAGUAUAAAUCUACAUUUGAGAAGAACUGAAAUGGCAGAGAGUAAGCUCUGCUUUUUAGGUCAACUACUGACCAUUGUUACAUUGUAAAUGUAGCCAAUGCAUCUUAAAGAAUAUCUGUUACUGCUGAGGUUCGCUUCUGUUAUUUCACAGUAAAAUUGAACAAUAUUGAAUCACUAAAAUUUAAGAAACUGAGGAUUAAAACUUACCUAUACUGUUUUGUACUACUAUUUUUAAAAUAAAUAAGCAGCAGUACCUAUACAACAAAUCUGUACUCAUGUCUCAUUUGAAAAUUCUGCAUAGUAACAAGGCACAUUUUGAAGGAGAAAGUCAAUAUAAUCAAGUUCUAAUAUGUCCUUUGCCCU